GAUGAACGCUGGCGGCGUGCUUAACACAUGCAAGUCGAGCGAAGCAGUUAAGAAGAUUCUUCGGAUGAUUCUUGACUGACUGAGCGGCGGACGGGUGAGUAACGCGUGGGUGACCUGCCCCAUACCGGGGGAUAACAGCUGGAAACGGCUGCUAAUACCGCAUAAGCGCACAGAGCUGCAUGGCUCGGUGUGAAAAACUCCGGUGGUAUGGGAUGGGCCCGCGUCUGAUUAGGCAGUUGGCGGGGUAACGGCCCACCAAACCGACGAUCAGUAGCCGGCCUGAGAGGGCGACCGGCCACAUUGGGACUGAGACACGGCCCAAACUCCUACGGGAGGCAGCAGUGGGGAAUAUUGCACAAUGGGGGAAACCCUGAUGCAGCGACGCCGCGUGAGCGAA
rnacentral:rRNA from 1 species